rnacentral:miRNA from 1 species
AGGGAGAUGCUGGUACAGAGGCUU